rnacentral:lncRNA from 1 species
AAUAAAAAAACAAACAAACAACAACAACAAAAGUCAGAAGAGAGUAAAGCACCCAGGCAGACGCAAACAGAGCAAAACAAAACAAGAACAGCCACAACAGAGAGAGUGAGAUGUGCGAAAUGAAAUCGGCUGGGAGCAGGGGCAGGGGCUGGAGAGGCUGAGGGAGGCGUGGGGGUGUAGGGAGAGGGAAAGGGGGAAAGUGAGUGCGUGUGUGUGUGUGUGAGUGUGUGUGUGCGGGGGGAGACGGUCCGCUUCGGCACGGCUGGAGAGACCCUGGCGAGGAAACCGGGAUGGAAAGGAAGGAAACGGAGGAGAGAAACUAGAGUUGCUCUGAAUUAGGAAGGAAGGACGAAAAAAUCAAAUGUAAAUGAAUAAACAAGCAGAAUCCAAAGCAGCUAGAUAAAUAAAUCAUCACGGGGAAGGAGAGAGGAAAGGUGGGGUGCAUCGGAGGGGAGGGGGUGGGAGAUAAAGGGGGAAAUAAUCUGAAAGUUACCAGAAACAUUAUUUAGUAGCAAUUCCCCUUGUCCUUGUCAAAGCCAGAGACAAAAAAAAAAAAAGAAAAAAAAAGAAAAAAAAAAGCAGCUAUAUAUGUAUACAUAUAUAUACGUUCGUAUAUAUACACACACACAUAUGUAUUUGUUAGUCUGUCCUGGGCAGCAGCAGCAACGGCGGCAGCAGCAGCAGCAGCAGCAGCAAGCUUUCCCCUGUGAACCCCGUGCUACUGAGCAGCCAGAGAGCAGGGAAAUCGCGCUGCUGGGGGAAAAGCUAGAGAGGAAAAAAGCGUGGAACAAUUGCAGAGAGAGACACACACACACACAGAGACUCACGCACACACACAAAAAGCUAGUGAAUAAUUUUUGCUGCUAUUUUUUAAUAGUGGCCGCCAUCAUCAUCAGCAACAGAGGAGAGCAAAUCGGACAGGCCCCUCUUAAGAGAGGAUUUAUAUAUAGGUUGAGCGGGAUGAUUAACAAUUACACUGCAAGAGGAUCCAGUUCUCACAAGAGAAAAUGGUCCCACAGGAUCAAUGAAGGGGAAGAAGAACAAGAUGUAGGGUUAGCAAGUUCUCAGACAUCACCUGGUUUUCCAUGUUAGAAAAAAAAGAAUCUGGGUAUCUGUAGUCACAGUGAAUUAGAUUGGAUAUUCUUCUUAUAUUGGUGUUAAAAGGCAGAGAAGGCUCUUAAUUCCAAACAACACGUCCUAAGUCUAAAGUGUAUGCCUAACCAUCUUACUGUGUUUACAUACCUCCACACACCACGCUUUUCCCCAUCACAGUUAGCCAAUAAAGUCAAAGAGCAAAACUCA